rnacentral:rRNA from 1 species
ACGAACGAGGUUGGUGCGGUGGUCGCGCAGGUUCAAGCACUGCCAAAGGUGCCGGCGUGUCGACGAAGAUCGUCCCGCGCCGUCGACCGGAGGCGGUGCCGUACUCCUCGUGACCAUUGACCAGCAGCGGUUGGGCCGGAGCCAUAAGGCAGCAGUGGAAGGUGAGUCGGUGCGAGCCYGUCUUGCAUUGACAGCUUAUAGCCCUGUCUGUACGGUGCUCCGGCGUGACCGAGGAAGCUGGGCAGCCCUUGCCCAUUGUGGUGCACGCCGAAUGGCGGGGCCUCCCGACAGGAGCAAACCGUGCGGUGUGGACUGCAUGCAGUGCUCACUGUUGCGGUGAACUCGUGCCGGAGAGUGCCACUGG